CGAUCUAUAAGGUGGGUAUAAGGUUGCGGCCUAUAAAAUGGCGCUUAAUGAGUGUACACUCACACCCACCGCUUGCUUGAUCGGUGGAGGGUCGUUAGCCGAACGGGUAGGAUAGGGCAACCUCAUCCUCUCAUUAAAAGUAUAAUAUGAAAUACAAAGUAACUACACAUUUUUAAAAUUUCUCAAUCUUAGUUACUUUAGGAAAAGUGAAUUGAUGCAAUCCCAUGAAAUUACACUUUGCACCCUUGCUGAGAAGUUAGUGGAGCGUGUGUGGUUUACCGGCACACUAAUUGGUUCUAAGCAAAGGUGGCAAAAGGUGAUUCAUUGUUUAUCAUAGUUCGAUGGAGCGUGUGUGGUUUACCGGCACAUCGAAUAGGUGAUCGUUACAAUGAAGGCACCAUGUGAAUUUGCAUGGUAAUUCACACCCGCUUUGUGAUCAUCGGUAACCCAGUCACAAACAAGAGGGGCAUAUCGAGAUUUAAACAUGCCAUUGAAUAGUUUCAAUGAAUCUCAUCCGAACCUAGGAAUUCUCAAUACAUUUAGGACUAAUAGUUAAGUUUUUGUGAUGGAGAAUUAGUGAAUCGUCAUUCACUUACCUUUAAUUUAUUUGCAUGUUAGAUUACGGCAUCCCUUUUCUAACAUGUAAAUGUUAUUGUUGGAUCCUAGCCCUAAUUUUUCUUAUUGGGUGAUAAUUAAGGAUUCAUAUUCUAAUCUAUCUUUGUCCUUCUUCUUUUUGUAGAUGUCGAACACAAAAAACGCUGCUGCUAGUUCUUUCACGUUGGUGAGCCUUUGCCAAAAGGUCACCUUCGAUGGAACGAACUUUAGCGAAUAGAUAAGAUACAUUUGCACCAUUGCUCGCUAUGAGGAUAAGGAGUAUGUCCUCGAUGAGAAGCUCGAGAAAAUCAACCCUGAAAUCACUACUCCGGCUGAAAUUACCGCGUUUGAAACUCAUGAGCGAGAUGCAACAAAGGUACAUUGCAUCAUGAUAGCCACCAUGAACUCCGAAUUCCAAAAGUCCUACGAGGACAUGUACCCGUAUGAGAUGCAUCAAGACUUAUUGGAGAGAUACCACCAGAACGCAAGACAAGAGCGUUAUGAGAUUUUCACUAACAUGAUUUCCGCUAAAAUGGGUCAUGGAGAAUCUCUUACCGUGCACAUGCAAAAGAUGCAAAGGUAUGUCGACCGCCUUCGCAAGUUAAAUGUUGACUUUGGGGAAGACUUGGCGAUCGACAUGGUGCUUCACUCUUUGCCUCCGAUGUACAAUCAAUUUAGGAUGACCUACCACAUGAACAAAGAGGAGGUCACCCUAAGCAAACUCCAAGGUCUAUUGAGGGUCGCUGAGAGCAACUUCAAAGACAAGUCUGUUGCACCAACUCCCAAUCCACCUGCUGCUCCUGUCUUGGCUAUUGGUCAAGGAAAGGGAAAGAAGAGGAAGGCUUCGUCUAAGAACUAUCGCAAGGUUAAAGCCUGAGAUGGUGCCUCUUCUAGUGGGACCAAAGUUGAUCCCGCUAAGCCCUGCCCUAACCCGAAGGAGGAAGAGUGCCACCACUGCCACAAGAUAGGAUAUUGGAAGAGAAGCUGCCCAGAGUACCUGCAAGCAAUCAAAGAAGGAAAGAUCAAGCCGUCUUUCGCAGGGACUAAGAAGAAGUAGGGAUGUGGAGCAAGGAAGGAUCAAUCUAAUCAUGGGGAACAGAAGGUCGUCGCCUGUGACCAAGAUUGGAGUGUAUUCUUUAGUGCUUAGGAAUAAGUUAUGUUUAGAUUUGAACAAUUGUUGCUAUUCGCCAGAAAUGGCUAGAAACAUCAUUUCAUUUCAUGGUUUAUGUAGACAAGGUUUUAGAUUUUCUUUUAAUAAUGAGAAUGGUUCUAUU